AGAUGGUGGGCUCGUGGUGAGAAGCUGUGAAGGAGUAGAAAUUAGCAUGCCUAGAAGCAGAUUUUAAAAGCAGUUUCUCUUCAGAACAUCUUUUUUCAUACCACUUGAUAAGCAUCUUGAAACACCAUGGCUGUAGCUGCAGUAAAAUGGGUGAUGUCAAAGAAAACUAUCUUGAAACGUUUAUUUCCAAUCCAAAACGGAGCUUUAUAUUGUGUUUGUCAUAAAUCUACAUAUUCUUCUCUACCAGAUGACUAUAAUUGCAAAGUAUAGCUUGCUCUGACUUCUGAUGGCAGGACAAUAGUAUGCUACCACCCUUCUGUGGACAUUCCAUAUGAACACACAAAACCUAUCCCUCGGCCAGAUCCUGUGCAUAAUAAUGAAGAAACACAUGAUCAAAUCCUCAAAAACAGAUUGGAAGAAAAAGCUGAACCCCUUAAGCAAGGACCUAUGGUAGAACAACUUAGCAAAAUGUCCUUUAAUACUAAGCACCGCUGGUAUCCUUAUGGACAGUAACACAUAUGUCGUAAGAAUCGGAAUCCUCCAAAAGACAGAUGA